AGAGUUUGAUCCUGGCUCAGAUUGAACGCUGGCGGCAUGGCUAAAACAUGCAAGUCGAACGCGAAAGGGAGCAAUCCCAAGUAGAGUGGCGCAAGGGCGAGUAAUGCGUUUCUAACGUACCCCGGACUCGAGGAUAGCCAGUCGAAAGAUUGGGUAAUACUCGAUGAUGUCACCUGGCCGCAUGGUUGGGUGACCAAAGAUACCGCCGCAAGGCAGGGUGGUCUGGGAGCGGGGAAUGUCCUAUCAGCUAGUUGGUGAGGUAACGGCUCACCAAGGCUAAGACGUGUAACCGGUGUGAGAGCACGGCCGGUCGCAUCGGGACUGAGACACUGCCCGGACUUCUACGGAAGGCUGCAGUGACGAAUAUUCCGCAAUGGGCGCAAGCCUGACGGAGCGAUGCCGCGUGCGGGACGAAGCCCCUCGGGGUGUAAACCGCUGUCAAAGGAUAGCAACUUAAUGAGCAACCUUAAAGGAAGAGGCGACUAACUCUGUGCCAGCAGUCGCGGUAAUACAGAGGCCUCGAGCGUUAAUCGGAGUUACUGGGCUUAAAGGGUGCGUAGGCGGGUCCGCAAGUGUCUUGUGAAAGCCCACGGCUCAACCGUGGAAGAGCUUGAUAGACUGCGGGUCUUGAGGCCGGUAGGGGUCGCUGGAACUCUAGGUGGAGCGGUGAAAUGCGUAGAUAUCUAGAGGAACGCCCAAGGCGAAGGCAGGCGACUGGGCCGAAACUGACGCUGAGGCACGAAAGCAUGGGUAGCGAACGGGAUUAGAUACCCCGGUAGUCCAUGCCCUAAACGAUGUACACUAGAUCCGGGAGGCUCUGACGCCAUCCGGGUCGAAGCGAAAGUAUUUAGUGUACCGCCUGGGGAGUACGGUCGCAAGGCUAAAACUCAAAGGAAUUGACGGGGACUCACACAAGCGGUGGAACAUGUGGCUCAAUUCGAAACAACGCGAAGAACCUUAUCCAGGGCUUGACAUACACGGAUUAGUCCCGGGAAACCGGGAUAACACUCGCAAGAGCGGAACGUGCACAGGUGCUGCAUGGCUGUCGUCAGCUCGUGCUGUGAAGUGUCGGGUUAAGUCCCUUAACGAGCGAAACCCCUGUCGCUAGUUGCUACGCCGAAAGGCUGGACUCUAGCGAGACUGCCGGUGUCAAACCGGAGGAAGGUGGGGACGACGUCAAGUCCUCAUGGCCUUUAUGCCCUGGGCUGCACACGUGUUACAAUGCGCGCCACAAUGCGACGCGAUACCGCAAGGUGGAGCAAAUCGCUAAAAAGCGCGCCCAGUUCAGAUUGGGGUCUGCAACUCGACCCCGUGAAGUCGGAAUCGCUAGUAAUCGCGGAUCAGCUACGCCGCGGUGAAUGUGUUCCUGAGUCUUGUACACACCGCCCGUCAAGCCAUGGGAGCCGGGAGCACCCGAAGUCGUCUCAUUUCAGAGAUGCCCACGGUGAGCUCGGUGACUGGGGCUAAGUCGUAACAAGGUA
rnacentral:rRNA from 1 species